AUACGGAGGUUGCAAGCGUUACUCGGAAUCACUGGGCGUAAAGCGCGCGCAGGCGGUCUUUUAAGUUGGGUGUGAAAGCCUACGGCUCAACCGUAGAACUGCAUCCAAAACUAUUAGACUAGAGUGUGGGAGAGGAAGAUGGAAUUAGUUGUGUAGGGGUAAAAUCCGUAGAGAUAACUAGGAAUACCAAAAGCGAAGGCAAUCUUCUGGAACACUACUGACGCUGAGGCGCGAAAGCGUGGGGAGCAAACAGGAUUAGAUACCCUAGUAGUCC
rnacentral:rRNA from 1 species